rnacentral:rRNA from 1 species
GACGAACGCUGGCGGCGUGCCUAAUACAUGCAAGUAGAACGCUGAAGGAGGAGCUUGCUUCUCUGGAUGAGUUGCGAACGGGUGAGUAACGCGUAGGUAACCUGCCUGGUAGUGGGGGAUAACUAUUGGAAACGAUAGCUAAUACCGCAUAAUAGCAGUUGUUGCAUGAUAACUGUUUGAAAGGUGCAAUUGCACCGCUACCAGAUGGACCUGCGUUGGAUUAGCUAGUUGGUGGGGUAACGGCUCACCAAGGCGACGAUACAUAGCCGACCUGGGAGGGGUGGCGGCCACACUGGGACUUAGACACGGCCCAGACUCCUACGGGGGGCAGCAGUAGGGAAUCUUCGGCAAGUGACGGAAGGCUGACCGAGCAACGCCGCGGGAGUGAAGAAGGGUUUCGGAUCGUAAAGCUCUGUUGUAAGAGAAGAACGAGUGUGGGAGUUGAAAGUUCACACUGUGACGGUAUCUUACCAGAAAGGGACGGCUAACUACGUG